rnacentral:rRNA from 1 species
AGCAGUCGCCACGGGAAUACGGAGGGAGCUAGCGUUGUUCGGAAUUACUGGGCGUAAAGCGCACGUAGGCGGUUACUCAAGUCAGAGGUGAAAGCCCGGGGCUCAACCCCGGAAUUGCCUUUAAGACUGCCGAGCUAGUAGGUGAGAGAGGUAAGUGGAAUUCCGAGUGUAGAGGUGAAAUUCGUAGAUAUUCGGAAGAACACCAGUGGCGAAGGCGGCUUACUGGCUCAUUCUAGACGCUGAGGUGCGAAAGCGUGGGGAGCAAACAGGAUUAGAUACCCGCGUAGUCCCUGUCUCUUAUAC